CUUAAGCAUAUCAAUAAGCGGAGGAAAAGAAACCAACAGGGAUUGCCUCAGUAACGGCGAGUGAAGCGGCAACAGCUCAAAUUUGAAAUCUGGCCCUCUGGGUCCGAGUUGUAAUUUGCAGAGGAUGCUUUUGGCGCGGUGCCUUCCGAGUUCCCUGGAACGGGACGCCACAGAGGGUGAGAGCCCCGUCUGGUUGGACACCAAGCCUAUGUAAAGCUCCUUCGACGAGUCGAGUAGUUUGGGAAUGCUGCUCUAAAUGGGAGGUACAUGCCUUCUAAAGCUAAAUACCGGCCAGAGACCGAUAGCGCACAAGUAGAGUGAUCGAAAGAUGAAAAGCACUUUGGAAAGAGAGUUAAAAAGCACGUGAAAUUGUUAAAAGGGAAGCGUUUAUGACCAGACGUGGGCCGGUUAAUCAUCCAGCGUUCUCGCUGGUGCACUUUGCCGGUCCAGGCCAGCAUCAGUUCGCCGCGGGGGACAAAGGCGUCGGGAAUGUGGCUCCUCGGAGUGUUAUAGCCCUUCGCGCAAUACCCUGGGGCGGACUGAGGUUCGCGCUCUGCAAGGAUGCUGGCGUAAUGGUCAUCAACGACCCGUCUUGAAACACGGACCAAGGAGUCGUCUUCGUAUGCGAGUGUUCGGGUGUAAAACCCCUACGCGUAAUGAAAGUGAACGCAGGUGAGAGCUUCGGCGCAUCAUCGACCGAUCCUGAUGUUCUCGGAUGGAUUUGAGUAAGAGCAUACGGGGCCGGACCCGAAAGAAGGUGAACUAUGCCUGUAUAGGGUGAAGCCAGAGGAAACUCUGGUGGAGGCUCGCAGCGGUUCUGACGUGCAAAUCGAUCGUCAAAUAUGGGCAUGGGGGCGAAAGACUAAUCGAACUUUCUAGUAGCUGGUUUCCGCCG
rnacentral:rRNA from 1 species